ensembl:snRNA U5 U5 spliceosomal RNA
AUACUCUGGUUUCUCUUCAAAACGAACAAAUCUUUUGCCUUUUACUAAAGAUUUCCGUGGAGAGGGACAGUUAUGAGUUGGUAACUAAAUUUUUUGAGGUCUUGCUUAGGCAAGGCU